CCCAGUAGCGGCGAGCGAACGGGGAGGAGCCCAGAGCCUGAAUCAGUGUGUGUGUUAGUGGAAGCGUCUGGAAAGGCGCGCGAUACAGGGUGACAGCCCCGUACACAAAAAUGCACAUGCUGUGAGCUCGAUGAGUAGGGCGGGACACGUGGUAUCCUGUCUGAAUAUGGGGGGACCAUCCUCCAAGGCUAAAUACUCCUGACUGACCGAUAGUGAACCAGUACCGUGAGGGAAAGGCGAAAAGAACCCCGGCGAGGGGAGUGAAAAAGAACCUGAAACCGUGUACGUACAAGCAGUGGGAGCCUCUUUAUGGGGUGACUGCGUACCUUUUGUAUAAUGGGUCAGCGACUUAUAUUCUGUAGCAAGGUUAACCGAAUAGGGGAGCCGAAGGGAAACCGAGUCUUAACUGGGCGUUAAGUUGCAGGGUAUAGACCCGAAACCCGGUGAUCUAGCCAUGGGCAGGUUGAAGGUUGGGUAACACUAACUGGAGGACCGAACCGACUAAUGUUGAAAAAUUAGCGGAUGACUUGUGGCUGGGGGUGAAAGGCCAAUCAAACCGGGAGAUAGCUGGUUCUCCCCGAAAGCUAUUUAGGUAGCGCCUCGUGAAUUCAUCUCCGGGGGUAGAGCACUGUUUCGGCAAGGGGGUCAUCCCGACUUACCAACCCGAUGCAAACUGCGAAUACCGGAGAAUGUUAUCACGGGAGACACACGGCGGGUGCUAACGUCCGUCGUGAAGAGGGAAACAACCCAGACCGCCAGCUAAGGUCCCAAAGUCAUGGUUAAGUGGGAAACGAUGUGGGAAGGCCCAGACAGCCAGGAUGUUGGCUUAGAAGCAGCCAUCAUUUAAAGAAAGCGUAAUAGCUCACUGGUCGAGUCGGCCUGCGCGGAAGAUGUAACGGG
rnacentral:rRNA from 1 species